rnacentral:tRNA from 1 species
GGAAAGCUGCCAGAGUGGUCGAAUGGGCCGGUCUCGAAAACCGGUGAGCGGGUAACUGCUCCGUGAGUUCGAAUCUCACGCUUUCCG